rnacentral:rRNA from 1 species
UACGAAGGGGGCUAGCGUUGCUCGGAAUCACUGGGCGUAAAGCGCACGUAGGCGGAUUGUUAAGUCAGGGGUGAAAUCCUGGAGCUCAACUCCAGAACUGCCUUUGAUACUGGCGAUCUCGAGUCCGGGAGAGGUGAGUGGAACUGCGAGUGUAGAGGUGAAAUCCGUAGAUAUUCGCAAGAACACCAGUGGCGAAGGCGGCUCACUGGCCCGGUACUGACGCUGAGGUGCGAAAGCGUGGGGAGCAAACAGGG